UCCUCUCCCUCCUCCCCCUGCAGCCAUAGGCGGGGAGGUCUGAUCGCUGCCCCCAGCCUUCCAUGCUCCCUCAGCGGACACCGUUUACCACCAGCAGCUGGCCGCCCACCUGUUCCUGGCUCCUUCCCUUGUGUGUUGCCUGUCCCGGGCACGCUUCACCUCCUGCCCCUGAUUGUUCAUUGUAUAGAGAGGAGCGACGCAGUGCUGCCGUGGAACCGCACAGCAAAGACAGUCCCAGCCACUGUCAGCAAAAGAAUCUAUUGUGGACACCUCAAACCUCACAAUAUUGUUUUUAGGCCAAAAGGUUGCACAGACGUCGCUGGAUGAUGAAGCUAAGCGAACCCAAGUGGGCGGCACAAACACCUGGCCCAUCUAGAAGUGGCACUGAAGUGUCAGACAGGAUGGCAGUUUUAAAAACUAGGCCCCAAAGAGCACAUAAUGCAAAGAAGGAAAAGAGGUGCAAGAGAGAAUUAUCUUUGGGCCCUCCCACCCACCCUUAUGUUGUGUAAAUAGGACAUGCACACUUUAUCAAACCAAUCAUUUCAGAGACAGGGUCUGCCACACGACUGUGGCUAAAAUUAUUGCUUUGUUUGGUCCCCCACCUAAAAAGAAGCAAUUAAUCUCUCCUUGCACAAACUGGCUCUACAGUGACAAGAUGUCGUCCUCAUCCUCAGAUCCCCCCCUUCAGUUUUACAUCCUUAUCCUCACAGAGAAAUAAUAUUCAAACAAACCAUCUAAUUUAGGGGUCAGUGGACUGCUUACGCUUUUACCCAAAGUUUCUGAACUUGACAAUGACUUAUGAUGAAUGUGCUGCAGGUGACGUAUAUGGGAGGAUGUUCCAAGGUGGAUAACGUCCUUACCCCUACUUAUUAUGGAUUGACAGAGGCAACAGAUGGCUUCACACCUGUUGUCCGGAUUUGUGGAGAAAUAAUUCCACACCGAAGAGGUGGCUUUUUUGGUAUUUUGCCCAGGCAUGACAAUUGGCUUUCUCACUUUCACAGAAGUGUGCUUUUAAUUUUAAACAACUGCACUCCUGAAUUUUUAUAGCAUACAGUGCCAGUGUAAUGUGAUUUGAAUAGCAACACCCCUAUAUUUUACAGCAUACAGAAGUGUGCUUUUAAUUUUUAACAACUGCACCCCUGAAUUUUUACAACAUACAGUGCCAGUGUAAUGUUAUAUUUAACAGCAACACCCCUAUAUUUUACAGCAUACAGCAGUGUGCUUUUAAUUUUUUACAACUGCACCACUGAAUUUUUAUAGCAUACAGGGCCAGUGUAAUGUUAUUUGAGCAGCAACACCCCUAUAUUUUACAGCAUACAGAAGUGUGCUUUAAAUUUUUAACAACUGCACCCCUGAAUUUUUACAACAUACAGUGCCAGUGUAAUGUUAUAUUUAACAGCAACACCCCUAUAUUUUACAGCAUACAGCAGUGUGCUUUUAAUUUUUUACAACUGCACCACUGAAUUUUUAUAGCAUACAGGGCCAGUGUAAUGUUAUUUGAGCAGCAACACCCCUAUAUUUUACAGCAUACAGAAGUGUGCUUUAAAUUUUUAACAACUGCACCCCUGAAUUUUUACAACAUACAGUGCCAGUGUAAUGUUAUAUUUAACAGCAACACCCCUAUAUUUUACAGCAUACAGCAGUGUGCUUUUAAUUUUUUACAACUGCACCACUGAAUUUUUAUAGCAUACAGGGCCAGUGUAAUGUUAUAUUUAACAGCAACACCCCUAUAUUUUACAGCAUACAGAAGUGUGCUUUUAAUUUUUAACAACUGCACCCCUGAAUUUUUACAACUUACAGGGCCAGUGUAAUAUUAUUUGAGCAGCAACAAUCCUAUAUUUUACAGCGUACAGCAGUGUGCUUUAAUUUUUUACAACUGUACCUCUGAAUUUUUGUAGCAUACAGGGCCAGCAGCACCCCAAUAUUUUACAACAUACAGAAGUGUGCUUUUAUUUUUUAACAACUGCACCUCUGAAUUUUUAAAAUCUACAGGGCCAGCAGCACCCCUAUAUUUUCCAGCAUACAGAAGGACUGUACCCCUGCACCCUGUACAACACAGUGGCAGCCAGGACAGCAACACCCAUGUACAGCUGCAGCACAUGAAACACCAGUGAUAGCCAGUGACAGCCAGGACAGCACCCCUCACACAGCACAGGUACACCUGAGGAAGCUGGCGGCGAUAUAGACCAGCGAAACGCGUUGAGCCCCCUUUUUCAUUUGACCACGGGCACCACAUCUGCUUUCACUUUGAAUCAUCUGGCAAUUUCUGGACUUUUGAAUCCUCCAGGACCUCUAUACACAGCAUUGCUUUGGAGUCUCUGCCUAUUCCCCUGCUGCUAUUGGACCUCGAUCUGCAAUUGAGAACCAAGGGGACUUUCUUCUGAGACCAGGGUAAUAUUUACAACCCCAAACAUAUGAGGACAUCUUGGAGGACUGAGUUCUAGCCAGAAUAUCAGUGUUUAUUGCCCCAUUUGAAAUCUAAGUGGUCUUUAGUCAAUUUGAGAGACUCUCAACUCUUUUCAUUAUUACCCCUCUGUCAAUACACGUGUCAUUUAUACACUUCUUAGACUUAUUUUAAUAAAUGUAUGAUUUAAUUUUUUAA